CCCAGACUCCUACGGGAGGCAGCAGUGGGGAAUAUUGGGCAAUGGAGGAAACUCUUACCCAGCAAUGCCGCGUGAAUGAAGAAGGUCCUCGGAUUGUAAAGUUCUUUAAUUGGGGACGAAAAAAAUGACGGUACCCAAGGAAUAAGCCCCGGCUAACUACGUGCCAGCAGCCGCGGUAAUACGUAGGGGGCAAGCGUUAUCCGGAUUUACUGGGUGUAAAGGGAGCGUAGACGGCGAUGCAAGCCAGAUGUGAAAGCCCGGGGCUCAACCCCGGGACUGCACUUGGAACUGUGUGGCUGGAGUGUCGGAGAGGCAGGCGGAAUUCCUAGUGUAGCGGUGAAAUGCGUAGAUAUUAGGAGGAACACCAGUGGCGAAGGCGGCCUGCUGGACGAUGACUGACGUUGAGGCUCGAAAGCGUGGGGAGCAAACAGGAUUAGAUACCCUGGUA
rnacentral:rRNA from 1 species